CGUCGGUUUAAACUGCACCGCGACGCCGAUAUGAGAUGUUGUGAACGCUGCAUCUGUUCCCCUGUUGUGAGUGUCUUAAUAACUGAGAUGAAAUCUGCAAUGAGUUCGAUAAGAAGGGUAGUCACCUUUAUCAACAGGAUUCCAUCACUAAUACUAUUGAUCCUUUACGAGAAAUCUCCUAUUAAACGCGUUUAGCUUAGAAUCGGUAUAAGGGCAUCGUGUAGCUCGCGAUCCUACGGUUUUUACCAGUCCCACUUUAUUCAGCUCGGGUCACGUCCCAAGUAAGGGGGCACAAGACUGUAGCCGAAGCCAACCUGUUAGUAAAAAGAAAUAAAUCUCCCCCUCCGCAAAAAAAUUGAUGUUAUGUUAUUUCCCGUUCACGUGCCUUUUUCUGACAUCCUAAAUAUACUGGCUGGGAAGUAAAUGUUGUUGAAAUCCAUCGACAGACAUUACCUCUGUUAUUUAUACAUCUUAUACACGCGUAGAUUUUUUAAAAUGGCUGGGGGGGGGGGAGGAAUCUGAGUUCCAAAACAAACCCCUUGUUUGCCUGCUGUGUUUGCCAGGUAAAGCGUCUGCUGAUUAUGGAAGAUCAAUCAAAUUAUUUCCAGGGGCACUGUCUAUUUUGUGUUGAGCUAAAAGAAAAAAAAAAAGUGGGAGAGAAUGAGUUGCGCUAUUAUUUUAUAGCUUGCUCUGGAAUUAUUGUCAUGGGGAACUAAAUCUGGGUUGCAAUCCUGUAUGCAAGUGUCCAGGAAGUGUGUCCAAUGGAAGUCCGUGGCGCUUACGACCGAGCAGACCAUGCCUAGGAAGCAUUGCAGCGCGCAGACUGCUGCAAAACCGAGGACAGGAGACGUGGCGUCGCUAGUUCUGAAAACAGGACACUUCUCCUUUUCGCCUUCGCGGGCCAAAUCAGACUCUGGAACAAGGAGGAAUCUUAAGCCUCCUCCUUCCCCUUUGCUUCUGUAGCGCUUCUCUCUCUCUCUCUCUCUCUCUCUCUCUCUCUCUCUCCUUCUCCACUCCCUCCCUCCCUCCUUUCGCCUGUUGCACGUUCACUAUCAGCCAACAAAGCAAUGAUAGAACGUUAACAUUUUUUUUAAAGGUACUUCAAAGAUCGUGAGGCAGGAAGAAACAUAUUGGAAAUCAAAAUUAAAAAGGGGAGGGGUCGGUUUCUCUUGGUGGACUAUUUGUCCUCUGAGGACUCUUUCUCUCUCUCUCUCCUUCAGAUUCGCGGUCUGCGUGAAAUCUAACAUGCGCUCGAGUGCUUUUCAUCUCCGGCAAGGGACGGGAGUGCAUCUGCAGGACGCCCCCUCGAACUUAAUUCCCACUCGUUUGAGCGGAACCCGCUUUACACGCGAGUAAGUCCCGUUGCACACUUCCCAUCCGCGGGUUAGGCCGCAAUCUGCAAAUCGCUGUCACCCGCCUGCAGUUGAGUCAAUGACACCCGAUCUGAGAGCAUAUUUUGAAACCGCUUUGAGUUCGUUGGAACUUGAGGUUUUUGGUUUUUUUAAAUAAACAAAUCUGU